rnacentral:rRNA from 1 species
CAUGCAUGUCUAAGUAUAAACAACUUUAUACUGUGAAACUGCGAACGGCUCAUUAUAUCAGCAAUAAUUUAUUUGAUGGUUUCUUACUACACGGAUAACUGUAGUAAUUCUAGAGCUAAUACGUGCGUAAAAUCUCGACUCUUGCGGGGAGAGAUGUAUUUAUUAGAUAAAAAACCAAUGCGGGUUCUGCCCGGUUUGUUGAUGAAUCAUAGUAACUGAUCGAAUCGCAUAGCUUCACGCUGGCGAUAGUUCAUUCAAAUUUCUGCCCUAUCAGCUUUCGACGGUAGUGUAGUGGACUACCGUGGCGUUAACGGGUGACGGAGAAUUAGGGUUCGAUUCCGGAGAGGGCGCCUGAGAAACGGCGACCACCUCCAAGGAAGGCAGCAGGCGCGCAAAUUACCCAAUCCUGACACAGGGAGGUAGUGACAAAAAAUAACAAUAUCGGACGCGUAUGCGUUUGGUAAUUGGAAUGAGUACAAUUUAAAUCCCUUAACGAGGAUCCACUGGAGGGCAAGUCUGGUGCCAGCAGCCGCGGUAAUUCCAGCUCCAAGAGCAUAUAUUAAAGUUGUUGCAGUUAAAAAGCUCGUAGUUGGAUUUCUGGUAUAAUGCGCCUGGCCCGCGGCUAUUUAAGCCUGUGAGUGCCGGUGUGCGUUUGCCAUCCUUCUAGAAAACGUUUCUACCCUUCACUGGGCCGGACUCGCGAUCUAGAUCUUUUACUUUGAAAAAAUUAGAGUGUUUAAAGCAGGCUUUUGCUAUGAAUACAUUAGCAUGGAAUAAUAAUCUAGGACUUCGGUUCUAUUUUGUUGGUUUCUAGUACUGAAGUAAUGAUUGAUAGGGAUAGUUGGGGGUGCUAGUAUUGGCCGGCCAGAGGUGAAAUUCUUGGAUUCGGUCAAGACUAACUUAUGCGAAAGCAUUCACCAAGGAUGUCUUCUUUAAUCAAGAACGAAAGUUGGGGGAUCGAAGAGGAUCAGAUACCCUCGUAGUCUCAACCAUAAACUAUGCCAACUAGGGAUGGGUGAAAGUUGCAUUUUCGACUUCAUCCGCACCUUAUGAGAAAUCAAAGUCUUUGGGUUCCGGGGGGAGUAUGGUCGCAAGGCUGAAACUUAAAGGAAUUGACGGAAGGGCACCACCAGGAGUGGAGCCUGCGGCUUAAUUUGACCCAACACGGGAAAACUUACCAGGUCCGGACAUAGUGAGGAUUGACAGGUUGAAGACCUUUCUUGAUUCUAUGGGUGGUGGUGC